AGAUUCGGAAUGCGUGUGAUUCACAAACUCGGAAUUCAGCACUCUCGCAUCGAGCAUCGCGCCGACCCACGCACCUCGCACACGCAGCCCGACGGAGCGGCCGAGGGGCACCGGCAAGGCCGCGCU
rnacentral:rRNA from 13 species